UAUCACUGGCGGCGCUGAUCAGGUUCUGGGCUAGGGGCGAAUAUGCGCAAGAGCUCAGGUGGAGGCAGCUGUGGCAACCCUGAUCCGCUGCCUUUCCCUGUUUCUGCCCAAAGUCUAUUUUGGCCUGUUACAUGCAAGAUCUAACAUUUGGCAACAAGGAUGGGAUCCUGGUGCUGCUUGACUUCACUGAAUCAUUGCUGCAUUCCUGCUGGCAUUUAAAAAAGAAAACCAGAAUGCCCUCUUGUGGAUGAUAUUGGCUCCAGAAGAAUCAGAAGAAAGUCGGGACUGAUCUGUGGGCUUCUUCGACCACUUCCCAUGACAUGUAAGACUUUUUCAAAUAAGUCAUCCUCCAAGAAAUUUGGGGCACUUGGUGGGGCUGUCAACUUCGCUUUUACAAAAUCCAGAGCUGCUGUGUCUUUUCUAGAAGACUGAUGUGCAGGUAGCUGCAAAGACGGAUCUUAGGGGUCAGCGUGCUAUUAGAUGGAGUGAGGUGAUCAGUCCAGGCGAGUGGUGCUGUCCUGGCACGCCACACACCUGUCCUGGGAGCCUUACAUUUACAGGCUGCCUCAGGCAGUGAAGGCUUCUAACCCACUGGCAAUGUUGAAACACGCCUGGUAGCUUCUAUGCAUUGGCUUUUGCCUUAAGCAACAAAAUGUAUUUUAAAUAACAAUCAGCUGUAGCUGAUAAUAUGCUAAAGUCCUUGUCAUGAACACAUGGAGGUUUUUCUCUUUUUAAAACAAGCACACAAGCUUCGUUUACAACAAAAUGUUUAAAGUGGGAGAAACAUUAAAUGACAUACAGAUAUUAAAGAAAACGUACAGUGAGAUGUAAUAUAAAAUGCUCACCAAGGUUUCAAACACAGAUUUAUUUGUAGUGCAACAGCUUCAUUUUGAUGAGCUGUGCAGAAUAAGGUACUCAAGGAAGGUUUUUUCAAAAUUGCCCUAUUAUUAAUGGAAUUUUAGCCCUAUAUUAGGGUUAGGGAUGUGCACCAGGUAAGGAUUAGGAUUACAAAAAUGAUUUGUAUGAUUUUGAUGGUUGGAAUGUGCUUAGAGUGGGCAGAAAUGAUGAGCUGUGCAGCAAAAGGUACUCAAGGAAGGCUUUUUCAAAAUUGCCCAAUUUUUCUCUCUGUCUUUCUAAACAUUGUCUAUAUUCCUUUACGCAGCCCAAGGUGGCACAGUGGUAUAGAGCGAGGUUUAGAAUUUACACAAGCCUUUUGUAGGUAAUAUUGGCAUC